UUACAUUGCCCUUCCUUUCCAUGAAAGAAUUCGGUGCAUCCUGAGCAUAGAAUUGACCGCUAAAUUAAUUUGUAAUCAUUUUAAUUUUUCUGGUUAAUUAGUUGGACUAGGAACUGAUGCUCAUUCAGUUGACAUGCAUUUACGAUCACGAGACAUAUCAUAAGCAGCGUUUUUCACCUAUCUCUCCACCACAAAACCCAAAGGGUCGAGUUACGAGUUCUUGCACCUCACGCUACCCCGCUCUUUUGUUUUCGUUUUCUUCAUUCAGAUUUAUUUAAGAAGUGAGAAGGAUGCAAAAAACUUCCCCCACAACACAUUAAAGAUACAAGGUGGCGGGAUAUGCUGUCUGUGGCGGCACUCGUCAAGAACCAGAUAAAGGUCUAUAGUAUAUGCCCGAAAUAACGACAACGAUCGUGAGAUGAUUAAUUGAUUGAUUUAAGAGACAAGUUAGGGAAAUUCAAGCUCAAAAGAAAUAAAUCAUUGUUUGAGAGUAGCUGAUCUGAUUAUAUAGGUCACUGAUGACCGAGCUAUCAAGUUAGGACUUCCCAUUGUUCUCUCGAAGCUUUGUGAUUAUAGCAGAAAAAGAGAUAUUUGUGAUUAUAGCAGGAGUUAUAGUUG